rnacentral:rRNA from 1 species
UACGAAGGGGGCUAGCGUUGCUCGGAAUCACUGGGCGUAAAGCGCACGUAGGCGGCUUUUUAAGUCAGGGGUGAAAUCCUGGAGCUCAACUCCAGAACUGCCUUUGAUACUGAGAAGCUGGAGUCCGGGAGAGGUGAGUGGAACUGCGAGUGUAGAGGUGAAAUUCGUAGAUAUUAGGAAGAACACCAGUGGCGAAGGCGGCUCACUGGUCCGGUACUGACGCUGAGGUGCGAAAGCGUGGGGAGCAAACAGG